AUGGGGAAGGCAAUAACAUAUAAGCGUACUAGAAGAGCAGAGAAUGACGUAACCAGGUAUGGGGCAUCAUCUAUGCAAGGGUGCCGUGAUGAAAUGGAAGCUACUUGGGCACCUCACGUACAUCUACUUGAUUAUGCGCCCACAUUAUUCUUUGGUGUUUAUGAUGGCCAUGGAGGAGCGGAAGUAGCAUCUUAUUGUUCGAGGAAGUUUCAUGAAGAGCUUAAAAAGGAUCCAAGCUAUGUCCUCAAUCUGCCUGGCGCAUUGAAGAAUGUGUAUUCCAGCAUUGAUGAGAAGUUGCAAGAAUCGGAUGAAUGGAGGAGGGACUUGGCUUAUUCUCCUCACAUCAGAAAUUUGAUAAGGUGGCUAUGGACUGAUGUUUGUGGUGCUAACUGGCUCCCCAAGGCACCUUAUCUGCCCCCUCUACAGGAAGGAAGCACAGCAUGCGUGGCUGUCAUCAGGGGCAACCGUAUCUAUGUUGCAAAUGUGGGCGAUUCCCGUUGUGUGCUCUCAAGGAAUGGUCAGGCAAUUGAUCUCUCGAUGGAUCACAAACCAAACUACCGACAUGAAAGAAAGAGAAUUGAAAAGGCAGGAGGACAAGUGCGCAUGGAUGAUAUCCCAAAGAAAGUUAUGGCUGACAUGAAGUUGGGCAUCCAUCGCAUUGAGGGAAUAUUACACAUAUCCAGAUCGAUUGGUGAUUUUCAGUUCAAGCAGGACCCGACUUUGUCGCGUCAAGAUCAAAUGGUGACAUGUUGUCCAGACAUAUGCGAUGUGCCGAUAACAAAUGAUACUCAAUUUUUUGUUAUAGCAAGUGCAGGUGUCUGGGAUGUCAUGACAAGUCGGCAGGUGGUUAAUUUUGUACACCAAUGCUUGCAAUCGGAGGAGAAAGAUCCGGGAACCAUCUGUGAAAAACUUCUUGAUUCAUGCCUGCGCGAGGGCUCAAAGGAGAAUUUGACCAUUAUACUGGUUCAAUUCAAGGCCACCGCCCAUGGUGGAGCUGAAGCCAAUGUUGCUCAUGGUGGAGCUGAAGCCAAUGGUGCCCAUGGUGGAGCUGAAGCCAAUGUCGCCCAUGGUGGAGCUGAUCGCGAAACGGCAACUGAUGAUAUCGAGAGCAAAGGGUCAGGUAGCCACAGCCCUAAGCCCUUAGAGAUCGAGGCCCAGGAAUCUGGCUCCAAAAAAGAAAGUGCGCCGAGGAUGCUUCAGCUGGGGUUGGCUAAAGCACGAGGAAUGCUAGGUGUGCCCACAGUUUGA
rnacentral:rRNA from 1 species